rnacentral:lncRNA from 1 species
ACAACAUCUUGAGGAGCCUGUGUGGAAGAGGUCUGGGAAGUAUUUCCCACAGCCACACAGGAAGCAGCUGGCCAGGAUUCUGGUGGCCUUGCAUCCUCAGAAACCCAGAAGAAGCAGACUAGCAAGAGGUUCUUCAGGCCCAGGGCCAUGGAUGGUUCUCUUCUUUCCCAACAAAGCAUAUUGCAAUAUUUCUAGGACAUCUGCUGGACCAAGCUAUGCUGCAUGGAACUGUCAAGACAGAAUUUCUGAGACACGCCAUGCUUCCAGACCCAAACCAAAAAGUGAAUAUGCAGCACCACGGAAAAACUACUCUCUGAAUUAAGCUGAGAUAAUUACAGUAUGGUGGGAAGACAGAGCCACGCAGACCUGCUCAGAUGCUUGCUGCACCCAGGGCUGCACUUCCACCUGCAGGUCCUUCUGAGAGAGAUGGAGACUUCGGACAGAACAAAGAAGUUGCUGGCUGCUCACGUUGUGCUCUUUUUGGAGGCUAAUCCACAGGGCACCUUCCCUGGUACUGGUUAGGAACGAAUCACUGGGAUUGCUCUGGGCUCUUGUCCUAGUUUGUUUUGCUGAAUCUUUUCCCAACCCUUUUGUGGGCCAAAAAACCAAAUAUCAGGGUAUGAAACAGGACAAUGCCAAAGGGAGGAUAAAGGGCAAGCUAAGGGAUCAAGAGUCCCAGGGGUGUGGUUUCUCACCUGUCACCAAAAUCUGUGCAAAAGUCAGCAAAGAGCACAAGGACACGAAGGGCCACAAUGUGUCCUGCCAGGCAGACUGCAAAGGGGGACACAGGCUUCCAGUGCUCAGCAUGUGGCUCCAGCCACCUUUGGCUUCCAACUGCUGCAUCUGCAGCUCUGAAUUGCCACCUGAUGCUGGUGACAGAGCCUGUAGCAGCCCAGAGUCCUGGAGUGUCAGAAGCUUGCCCAGGAGCCCUUAGCCAGUGACUGGAGCACUGACUGCUGACAGUGGUCUACAUUAGCCCCAGGGUGCCUCAUUAGGCUCAAGCUCCAGAUAACCCCUGCAGGGUUUUGCUUGAGAAAGGAUCCUUUAUUGGCUAUGGCUUUGCCUGUGGCACUCCCUUGUUCUCUUGCUGGGCUUUUCUGGAAAUCCCCUCCUAAACAAGCUGUUUGCAGACUCUCAACUUAAGGUCUGUGUUAAAGGGACACACACACACACACACACACACACACACACACACACACACACGAGGACAGUAUGCUGCUAACCUGGAGUUUGCUUCUGUCUGGCUGGGCCGCAUUCACAGGCAGAUGGACGCACACAAACCUGCAACUCAUAACACACAUCAGGUAUCAUGGUUGCCACCCACUGGGCACGCAGGAAACUUAAUUUCUUUGAGUUUCAUUUUGAGAUUGGUUGACCUGAUUUCUCAUAACCAAAGCAAGCAUUCACUCUAGAUGGCUAGGAAUCUGUGUUGAUUUGUGUAAUCUCAUUUGGAUUGGGCCUCUCUUUUCAACACAUUUUUAUAUCUUGCAUUUCAGUUUCUACUAGCGCACAGUUCCUUGCUGCUGCAUUUAAAGAUAGCAUAUUUUAGAGCUCACACAGAUAAGUUGAAUUGGGAUAGAAUCUUUACUUAAAUCCCUACUUUUUAAGAAUUUCUUGCAUUUACCAUCAGAACUCCUGCAGUUCUACUUAAGAGAAUCCAGGUAAUGUAAAACUCUGAAUAAUAUUUAUUAACGCUUUUUCUUUAAUGGCUAAGAAGAAAACCUCAUUGCAAUACCCAAGGGUUCAAUUUCUUUAAUGAUUUCCUUUUUUAAAAUUUGAUUUUAUUGUAUAUAUUUAAGUUGUAUAUAACAUGUUUUGUUUUUUUGUUUGUUUGCUUAUUUGUUUUGAGACAGGUUCUCACUAUGUUGUCCAGUCGGAGACUGGGUCUUGCUAUGUUGCCCAGCCAGGCCUCAAACUCUUGAUUUUCCUGUCUCAGCCUCCCAAGUAGCUGGGAUUAUAGAACAUGCUAUUGCAUCUGGCCUCAACAUGGUGUCUUGACACACAUAAAAUUUGUGAAACUAUUUCUAUAAUCAAUCAGUUUAAUUUUCAUCUCCUUACAUAGUUGCUGUUGUGUUUGUGUAGUUAAGAGCACCUGACAGCUACUCUUGGGGCAACUUCCAGUAUACAGUCCAGCAUUCCUGACUAUACUCAUCAUACUGUGCACUGGAGCUCUGGCCUCGCUUGCGCUGGGAGCUGCAGCACUGUACACUUUGGCCAAUAUCUCCCCUCUCUUCCUUUCUUACCCCACUGCUCUGCCCUCUGCUUCUAGGUAUUUGACGUUUUAAAAUCUACAUACAGUUGGGAUCACAUAACACUUUUCUUCUGUGUCUGAUUGAUUUCACUUGGCAUGUCUUCCAUUUCGUCUACAUUGUCACACAGCAGAGUCACCUUCUUCUUAAAGGCUGAGUGAUACUUUAUCAUAGCUAUUGUCCCAGAGUCAUAUAUUGUAUAAUUAAUAUGUAAUAUAUUUUAUAUAAUAAUUAUAAUAGAUUAUUAUAUAUUGGGUGUAUGCUCAUAUGUAUCCUGGAAUUUCUUAUCCAUUUGUCCAUCAGUGAACACUUACAUUAUAUCCAUAUCUUGGCUGUUGUGAAUAAUGCUGCAGUGAGUAGGAGUGCAGAUAUCUCUUAGCUGUGCAAAUUUCAUUUCCUUGGGGGUUUCUGAAUCAUGUGGUAGCUCUAGUGUAAUGAUUUCUGAGGAAGCUCCAUGGUGUUUUCCAUAAUGGCAAUAUCAAUUACACUCCCACCAACAGUGUACAAGUUUCCCCUUUCUUUCCAUGCUUCUGUAAUCUCUUGUUUUUUUGAUAAUAGCUGUCCUUACUGGUGUGAAGUGGUAUUUCAUCCUGGUUGUGAUUUGCAUUUCCUUGAUGUUUGAUGAUGUUAGGCACCUUUUUAUAUACCUUUUAGCUAUUUUCAUAUCUUCUUUGGAGAAAUAGCUGUUUUGAUUCCUUGCUUAUUUUUAACCAGGUUAUUUUCAUGUUACUGAGUUGUAUGACUUCUUUAUAUAUUUUGGACAUUGAACUCUUAUCAGACACAUGAUUCAUGAAUACUUUCUCCUAACCCAUAGCCU